AUCACUUUUUCCUGCUGGUCUGAGGUAAAUAGGAAAACCCAGUUGCUCCGAAAGCUUCAUUUGUUCUGGUGACCUUGUUAAUCAAGCUUCAAGAGUGGGAGGAGUUUGAAAUGUACACACUUCGAUGGUGCUUUCUGUGUCCUCUGUGAAGCCAUGGGUUCCAAUCCUGCCACAGGCCAUCAGUCUCCAGUCACUUCCUUCGGCCACCCUGCCCACACCCCCCAUCCCGGCCCCAAAGGCAGGCAGCAAGAACGAGCCCCGAUUCUCCCUUAACCCAUUGGAGUUGCUGUCAUCUCUGCUCCACCACUCCUGUAAAGAAAAUACAGUGCAUCUCUCUUGAAGAA